rnacentral:rRNA from 1 species
UACGAACCGUCCAAACGUUAUUCGGAUUUAUUGGGCUUAAAGGGUACAUAGGCGGCCCUGUUAGUCGGGUGUGAAAUCCCUCGGCUCAACCUAGGAACUGCGCCCGAUACUGUGGUGCUUGAGGGAGACAGAGGUAAGCGGAACUGAUGGUGGAGCGGUGAAAUGCGUUGAUAUCAUCAGGAACACCAGUGGCGAAAGCGGCUUACUGGGUCUCUUCUGACGCUGAGAUACGAAAGCUAGGGGAGCGAACGGG